rnacentral:rRNA from 1 species
GUGAGGAAUAUUGCGCAAUGGAGGCAACUCUGACGCAGCCAUGCCGCGUGCAGGAAGAAGGCGCUACGCGUUGUAAACUGCUUUUAACCGGGAAGAAACCCCAGGACGUGUCCUGGGUUGACGGUACCGGAGGAAUAAGCACCGGCUAACUUCGUGCCAGCAACCGCGGUAAUACGAAGGGUGCAAGCGUUAUCCGGAUUCAUUGGGUUUAAAGGGUGCGUAGGCGGAGCGUUAAGUCAGUGGUGAAAUCCUGCAGCUUAACUGUAGACUUGCCAUUGAUACUGGCGCUCUUGAGUGCGCUUGAAGUGGGCGGAAUGUGCCGUGUAGCGGUGAAAUGCUUAGAUAUGGCACAGAACACCAAUUGCGAAGGCAGCUCACUAAGGCGAUACUGGCGCUGAGGCACGAAAGCGUGGGGAUCGAACAGGAUUAGAAACCCGUGUAGUCC